rnacentral:rRNA from 1 species
UACAGAGGGUGCAAGCGUUGUUCGGAAUUAUUGGGCGUAAAGCGCGUGUAGGCGGCUUUGCAAGUCGGGUGUGAAAGCCCUCAGCUCAACUGAGGAAGUGCGCCCGAAACUGCAGAGCUUGAGUACCGGAGAGGAUGGCGGAAUUCCCCAAGUAGAGGUGAAAUUCGUAGAUAUGGGGGAGGAACACCGGUGGCGAAGGCGGCCAUCUGGACGGAUACUGACGCUGAGACGCGAAAGCGUGGGUAGCAAACAGG